rnacentral:rRNA from 1 species
UGCCGCGUGCAGGAUGAAGGCGUUAUGCGUUGUAAACUGCUUUUAUAUAGGAAGAAAUAGACCUUGCGAGGUAAGUUGACGGUACUAUAUGAAUAAGCACCGGCUAACUCCGUGCCAGCAGCCGCGGUAAUACGGAGGGUGCAAGCGUUGUCCGGAUUUAUUGGGUUUAAAGGGUGCGUAGGCGGUUUAUUAAGUCAGUGGUGAAAGACGGUCGCUCAACGAUUGCAGUGCCAUUGAUACUGGUAGACUUGAGUGGGAUUGAGGUAGCUGGAAUGGAUAGUGUAGCGGUGAAAUGCAUAGAUAUUAUCCAGAACACCAAUUGCGUAGGCAAGUUACUAAGUCUCAACUGACGCUGAGGCACGAAAGUGUGGGUAUCAAACAGGAUUAGAUACCCUGGUAGUCCACACUGUAAACGAUGAUAACUAACUGUUGGCUUUCGGGUCAGUGGUACAGAGAAAUCGUUAAGU